rnacentral:rRNA from 1 species
GAUGAACGCUGGCGGCGUGCCUACUACAUGCAAGUCGAGCGAAUGGAUUAAGAGCUUGCUCUAUGAAGUUAGCGGCGGACGGGUGAGUAACACGUGGGUAACCUGCCCAUAAGACUGGGAUAACUCCGGGAAACCGGGGCUAAUACCGGACAACAUUUUGAACCGCAUGGUUCGAAAUUGAAAGGCGGCUUCGGCUGUCCACUAUGGCUGGACCCGCGUCGCAUUAGGGAGUUGGUUAGGUAACGGCUCACCAAGGCAACGAUGCGUAGCCGACCUGAGAGAGUGAGCGGCCACACUGUGAAUGAGAAACGGGCCAGACACCAACGGGACGCAGCAGUAGGGAAUCUUCCGCAAUGGACGAAAGUCUGGCAGAGCCACGACGCGUGAGUGAGGAAGGCUUUCGUGUCGUAAAACUCUUUUGUUAGGGAAGAACAAGUGCUAGUUGAAUAAGCUGACACCUUGACGGUACCUAACCAGAAAGCCACGGCUAACUACGUGCCAGCCGCCGCGGUAA